GGGUUAACGCUGGCGGCGUGCCUUACACAUGCAAGUCGAACGGGGCUAUCAGCGAUGGUAGCUUAGUGGCGAACGGGUGAGGAAGACGCAGGGACCUACCGACCAGAGGGGGAUACCCGCUGGAAACGGCGGAUAAAACCGCAUACGCCCGAGUGAAAGCCCGGGGAAAAGCACUACGGUGUUACUGGACGAGGGACCUGCGGCCCAUCAGGUAGUUGGGGAGGUAACGGCUCACCAAGCCGACGACGGGUAUCUGGCGUGAGAGCGCGAACAGGCACAAGGACACUGAGAGACGGGUCCUACUCCUACGGGAGGCAGCAGUGGGGAAUAUUGGACAAUGGGCGAAAGCCUGAUCCAGCGACGCCGCGUGUCGGAAGGAGUCCUUCGGGAUGUAAACGACUUUUGGUGGAGACGAAUAAGCAGCUCAGGGAAUGGGGCUGUGAUGACGGUAUCCAUGGAAUAAGCCCCGGCUAACUACGUGCCAGCAGCCGCGGUAACACGUAGGAGGCAAACGUUAUCCGGAUUCACUGGGCGUAAAGCGCGUGCAGGUGGUUUCGUAAGUAGGGCGUGAAAGCUCCCGGCUCAACUGGGAGAGGCCGUACUAAACUGCGGAGCUAGAGGAUGGUAGAGGGAGGUGGAAUUCCAGGUGUAGUGGUGAAAUGCGCAGAUAUCUGGAGGAACACCAGUGGCGAAGGCGGCCUCCUGGACCAUACCCGACACUCAGACGCGAAAGCUAGGGUAGCAAACGGAAUUAGAGACUCCGGUAGUCCUAGCCCUAAACGAUGCAGACUAGGCGUCGGCGGUUUAAUCACCGUCGGUGUCCAAGCUAACGCGAUAAGUCUGCCGCCUGAGGACUACGGCCGCAAGGCUAAAACUCAAAGGAAUUGACGGGUCCCCGCACAAGCAGCGGAGCGUGUGGUUUAAUUCGAUGCUCCGCGAAGAACCUUACCUGGGUUUGACAUAACAGUGGUAGAGAAACGAAAGUGGACCGACCCUUCGGGGAGCUGUUACAGGUGUUGCAUGGCUGUCGUCAGCUCGUGUCGUGAGAUGUUCGGUUAAGUCCGCUAACGAGCGCAACCCGCGCUGUGUGUUACAAGUGUCACACAGUACCGCCGGUAUUAAGUCGGAGGAAGGUGCGGAUGACGUCAAGUCAGCAUGACCUUUAUAUCCAGGGCUACACACACGCUACAAUGGUCAGCACAAUAGGUUGCCAAGCCGCAAGGCGGAGCCAAUCCUCCAAAGCUGGCCUCAGUUCAGAUUGCAGGCUGCAACUCGCCUGCAUGAAGUCGGAGUUGCUAGUAACCGCAGGUCAGCAUACUGCGGUGAAUACGUUCA
rnacentral:rRNA from 1 species